UUGCCUUCACAUUUUGAGUACCACUUCCUAAGGAAAGCCUGUGUCUCCUCCACUACAAAGCGUUAGUGCUGGAAGGUUCCCGCUAAACCCCAGCCUCAGAAAGAAAGAAUUAAGUACCUGAGAGAGGGAGCAACUUUUUUCAGAGAUGAUAAACAGUUGGUUUAAGAUCCAGAUCUUGGUCCCGAGAACCGGUCUGGGGUCUUUGAAUAUCUGUGCUAAACUCAGAGAGGUAUAUUCUGUGGACUUUGUCUUUUUCAGAUUUGACUCGUCUUUUCCCCACAUACGUUCUAUUACCAUUCAGUAAGUGUUUCUUCGGUAUUUUGGCAAACAAUCUCUCACACCAAACCUCUUUUCUUAGUCCCGAGGCGUCUGGAGUCCUCUUGAAGAUACAGCCUCCAUGUUCCUGAGGCUCAACAAAUACCAUCAGUGCUUGCAGCUAGGGAGCUCCAAACUUAUCUCCCCACCAACUUCUGCUGCCAAGGAUUAUGUCCAAUGGGUUGGCUGAAAGAGAAUGGCCCUCCGGGGUCCACAGUGCUAGCAACCACCGCAUCCAGGAAGAGUGGGACCAGUGUCCUUCCUCAGCUGGGGGCAGGGUGUGGAGGAGGCACAGAGGUCCUUGUGCUCACAGAUAAGCACCAGGGGAACCAGGAAUGUUAAUCGCACAAGGUAGUUACUUAAUGGGCGAGAUGGAUAACCUGGUUUUGCUUAGAAGGCUGGGAACAGAUGUGGUUUAUAGCUUGGUGACCUUUGGUGUAUCUGCAUGGUCAAAACCAUACUGGGUCUUGAGUUUGUUUUUUUUUUUCAGUUAAUUUAUAGAACAAAUCUUUAUGAAAGACGCCACUUGUAUUUUACAAAGAGUCUCAAUGUAGCCGUAUCUCGAGCUUGGAUGUGCACAUUAUCAAGUUAAUUAUCAACAGGAAAGCUUUUUACCAGUUUGUGUGGUUCUUAAAUAUACCCCAAAUAAACUACACAGGAUCAGACACUCAAAAACUUUGAACCUACACUGGCUACUGAGUCACACUGGAGCAAAUUGCUGCCUUGCCUCUCCGGAUUGACACCCCACUCACGGCCUUCCUGUUCACAGAGCCCUCCACAGGGAUGCCACAUAUCCUAAAGAAGCCCUUGCAAGGCCUGCAGGAAGCUGAGAUCCCACAGAUGCUAGGAACCUCUCCUCCGGUGUCAUGAUAAACAGCCGAGAAAACUGUGACGCUUCGCACGCAGCCAAUGCCUGUGUGAACUAUGACCCACACUAUGCUUUACCGUGGGACACUUGUGUGUCAGCGCACCCAGCCCAGAACCCGGUUCCAGCUGAGCAGGGAGGGCAGGUUGGGACCUUUGUUUACCUGAGAGGAAAGAAGCCCCUGGUAGAAGAUUCUAAUGGCAAAGUGAGCACUUGUCUUUGCAGCAGGCAGAAAGCCCUGCCCUGCCCUUGGAUCGGCCCCGGAGCCAAGCAUGCAUCUGUCCUGCAGUAAAAUGCUUGUAGAUAUUGA